rnacentral:rRNA from 1 species
GAUGAACGCUGGCGGCGUGCCUAGUACAUGCCAGUCGAGCGAACGGACGAGAAGCUUGCUUCUCUGAUGUUAGCGGCGGACGGGUGAGUAACACGUGGAUAACCUACCUAUAAGACUGGGAUAACUUCGGGAAACCGGAGCUAAUACCGGAUGAUAUUUUGAACCGCAUGGUUCAAAAGUGAAAGACGGUCUUGCUGUCACUUAUAGAUGGAUCCGCGCUGCAUUAGCUAGUUGGUAAGGUAACGGCUUACCAAGGCAACGAUGCAUAGCCGACCUGAGAGGGUGAUCGGCCACACUGGAACUGAGACACGGUCCAGACUCCUACGGGAGGCAGCAGUAGGGAAUCUUCCGCAAUGGGCGAAAGCCUGACGGAGCAACGCCGCGUGAGUGAUGAAGGUCUUCGGAUCGUAAAACUCUGUUAUUAGGGAAGAACAUAUGUGUAAGUAACUGUGCACAUCUUGACGGUACCUAAUCAGAAAGCCACGGCUAACUACGUG